rnacentral:rRNA from 1 species
CAGCCGCCGCGGUAAUACGAAGGGAGCUAGCGUUGUUCGGAUUUACUGGGCGUAAAGCGCACGUAGGCGGAUCGAUCAGUCAGGGGUGAAAUCCCAGAGCUCAACUCUGGAACUGCCUUUGAUACUGUCGAUCUGGAGUAUGGAAGAGGUGAGUGGAAUUCCGAGUGUAGAGGUGAAAUUCGUAGAUAUUCGGAGGAACACCAGUGGCGAAGGCGGCUCACUGGUCCAUUACUGACGCUGAGGUGCGAAAGCGUGGGGAGCAAACAGGAUUAGAUACCCCGGUAGUCCCUGUCUCUUAUAC